rnacentral:lncRNA from 7 species
GGGUUCCCAAUAGGUCCUCAUCCCCAAUUAAGGGAUAACUAGGUACUAACAGCUAGCACAAACUAUCUAGAUUUCAUACAUCACCACAUCGGUAAGCACUCAUCCAUGAACCAUGAUCCAUUCAUCCACCCAUUAGAAAAGAAAUCAGUACUUCGGGACCAAUAGAAGAAAUGGAGAAAUGGAGUCUGCUCACCUUCUUUGGUCACCAUCUGAGUUCGUUGGCGCCUGAGAAUCCAUGGUCGUCAUCGUCGUCCUAGGCUCAUAGGAGUCGGCGGUGCUCCUCGUCGCUGGUGAAGUCGCCAAUUGCAGUGCCAGCGCAACUGUGCAGGCGUGCGACGGUUGGCCGGCUGGGCAGGGCGUAGCGUAUGGCUGGUUAUUUUAGGGUUUUGUUUUUUGCUAGUCUGCUAGUUGUCUUGUCGUGUUUCCUUGUUGGGCUAGGACCUAGGCCUGGUGCGCUGUCGUGCUGAGCUUGGUGGCCGGCUCGACGUCAACUCAUUCAUAGGACAGGUAUACAUGUAUGAAAUAUCCAUGGAUAAUCGGGUUUAUAUUAUUGUUUCCUAAACCCAUACGUGGAGAUUUUAUCCCAUAUCCAUACCCACGGGGACAAUUUUUAUCCCAUACACGUACCAUAAUAGGGGAAUACACUAAGUAUUGUAUGAAUCUCAUAAAAAAACAAAACAUAUUUUAUUUUGGUACAGAGGGAGCGUAUAACAAUCGCCCCAAUGGUGGAUGUGUAGCCCAUCACUGUCCCCACCAUUCUUUUCUUCCUCAUUGUUGCAUUCAGAAACUUGUAGGUGUUGCUUCUGAUGUAGCUCAAAGUACUAACUAACCUUGAUGCCUUGCCUCCUACAGAUUCAAGCCGUAUCCUCUCCGGGUGGCCAUGCUGACGACGAUCUACGGGUUCGGUCUUUACAAGUGGUGGAUGUACGUAUCUAGCUAGUGUGGGUCGUCCACUCGUCCUCUCCCCCCUUGCCGUUCCUCAUUGUGAGCAGAUGCGAUAGAUGGAGUAUAUUGCCUGGCUAAUAUGCUGCUGAUAGCCUGAUAUGAAGAACCACCCUCAAGACAGGUUGAUGUAUGUAAUGUAACGAGCGGGUUUUUGUGAUGCGCAAACGCCACGCCAAUCAUUCUUAUCUGGAAACAUGAAUCUAGGUUUUAUUCUUUCUCCCCCUUUGUCACUCCUUCGGUCUUCCUUGUUCCAUCAUCAUAGCUUCCCAAGGGCUACAUGAACAUGAAUCUUACAGUUUG